rnacentral:tRNA from 1 species
GGGGGUGUUGCUCAGUGGUAGAGUGCAUGCUUAGCAAGUACAUGAUCCUGGGUUCAAUUCCCAGCACCAUUU